UACGAGUGCCUCAAGCGUUAUCCGGAAUCAUUGGGCGUAAAGGAUGUGUAGGUGGCCGCAUUAGUCUUCUGUUAAAGCUCCCGGCUUAACCGGGAACCUGCAGGGGAAACGGUGCGACUAGACGAUGCAAGGGGUCUGCGGAACUCAUAGUGUAGCGGUGAAAUGCGUUGAUAUUAUGGGGAACACCAAAAGCGAAGGCAGCAGACUGGGGCACUCGUGACACUGAAACAUGAAAGCGUGGGUAGCGAAUGGG
rnacentral:misc_RNA from 1 species